CUUUUUAAACAGUCACGCCCCCUUUUGCAAUGACCGGUCCCUUCACUGCGUGUAAAUCCGACAUCAGCAACCUGGAAAAGCUCGGAGACUGGCGCGUUGCGCUGCAGAGGUACACGCGUGUGCGCAGCUGAGGCAGCCGCAGCGGGCGGAACGCGGUGCGCGGAGAAGGAAGAAAUAAUCUUAUGGAAGAGAACAGAAUGAAAUUGCUGCAGGUGAACCUGACCCAGUAUUUACUUGUGUAUAAGUGAAGAAAAACAAGUUAGAAAAUCAAGGAAGGGGUAGGCUAUUGUUGUCAUCUGGAAACAUGAUGGAAAUCCUGUACUUGAUUGUCUUCAAGCCUUAUGUAGUAAACAUGAUUAUUAAUUUUUGUUAUUAAUAACACAUUUUAGAUUAGUAAAAAGAGAUCCCAAGAUGCCCUUUAACACUUUCCAGAGUUUAAUCAACAUUCAGGAUAAUUUCCAAUUUAAGUUUGCAAAACUGUAACCAUUAUUCUUGCUGCCUUUUCUACAUAUGAAUCAUAAGCUGUAAAAUCAUAAACAGUUCUUAUAUGUUGCAAAACCCUGUGCUUGCUUGUGCAUAUCUUCCACUGCAUAACAAAGUCUUAGACUUUGAUAGCAUUCCCUCCUCACACAGCACCACCCAUCAACUCACAUUACUCAUGUUAGUGAAAAUUAAUCAGCAGAAAAGAAAACAAAAACACCAAAAAAAAAAACGAAA